GCAGGGGCCGGGCCGGACAGGCGUCUCAGCGCCCGGGAGGGUAGAGCUACAGCUGGACCGCUGCUGGCGUCACUGUGCCCGUGUUUUCUUCAGGAAUUAAAAUUCGGGGCGGGGGUACUGAGGACCGAUAAGAGGGGCAGGGAGAAGAUGGACAAUAAACAGGUUUCUGAAUGCUGGAACUCUGCAUGAUGCAGGCCUAAAUGAAGCAACGAAGAUGAAAUGCUACUAACUGGAGUUAUAUUUGUUCCUUUAAACUUUGCCACAGGAGAUCUGGGUGGCAAUUAGCCCCUGG